UGGGUUGUUUCUUCCAAAUCCGAUAAAUUAAAAUAAUAUAGAGAAGAUUAGCAUGGCCCCUGUGCAAGGAAGACACACACAACUUGAGAAAUGGUGUUUUACUUA
rnacentral:snRNA from 1 species